AACCCUUAUUGCUAGUUACCAUCAUUCAGUUGGGGACUCUAGCGAGACUGCCAGUGAUAAACUGGAGGAAGGUGGGGAUGACGUCAAAUCAUCAUGCCCCUUAUGACCUGGGCUACAAACGUGAUACAAUGGCUGAAACAAAGGGCAGCGAAGCAGUGAUGUGGAGCGAACCCAAAAAGCAGUCUCAGUUCGGAUUGAAGUCUGCAACUCGACUUCAUGAAGUCGGAAUCGCUAGUAAUCGCGGAUCAGAACGCCGCGGUGAAUACGUUCUCGGGUUU
rnacentral:rRNA from 1 species